CCUACGGGUGGCUGCAGUGGGGAAUAUUGGACAAUGGGGGCAACCCUGAUCCAGCCAUGCCGCGUGUGUGAAGAAGGCCCUCGGGUUGUAAAGCACUUUCAGUGAGGAAGAACGCCUGGUGGUUAAUACCCAUCAGGAAAGACAUCACUCACAGAAGAAGCACCGGCUAACUCCGUGCCAGCAGCCGCGGUAAUACGGAGGGUGCGAGCGUUAAUCGGAAUUACUGAGCGUAAAGCGCGCGUAGGUGGCUUGAUAAGCCGGUUGUGAAAGCCCCGGGCUCAACCUGGGAACGGCAUCCGGAACUGUCAAGCUAGAGUGCAGGAGAGGAAGGUAGAAUUCCCGGUGUAGCGGUGAAAUGCGUAGAGAUCGGGAGGAAUACCAGUGGCGAAGGCGGCCUUCUGGACUGACACUGACACUGAGGUGCGAAAGCGUGGGUAGCAAACAGGAUUAGAUACCCUUGUAGUC
rnacentral:rRNA from 1 species